rnacentral:rRNA from 1 species
UACGAAGGGGGGCUAGCGUUGUUCGGAAUUACUGGGCGUAAAGGGCGCGUAGGCGGUACUUCAAGUCAGGCGUGAAAGCCCCGGGCUCAACCUGGGAACCGCGCUUGAGACUGGAGAACUAGAGUUCGGGAGAGGAUGGUGGAAUUCCCAGUGUAGAGGUGAAAUUCGUAGAUAUUGGGAAGAACACCGAUGGCGAAGGCAGCCAUCUGGACCGACACUGACGCUGAGGCGCGAAAGCGUGGGGAGCAAACAGG